UGCUGUGAGGAGCCCAGGAUAUUCGGGUAGACCAGCCCCGCUGAGCUUUCAGCCUACAGCCAGGAUCAAUGACCAAGUUUUGAGUGAGCCAUCUUGUCUAUUCCAGCCCAUUUGAAUCCUCAGGUGACUGCAGUCCUAGCCAACAUGAUGUGGAGCAGUAGAACUGAUCAGAAAGGUGGAUGGAGUUUUGAAACAGAUGCACAUAGGAGAAGGUGAUGUAAAGAUGGUGGCAAAGAUAAAGUGCUGUGGUUACAAACUAAGGAAUGCCAAGGAUUUCUGAUACACACCAGAAGCUGAAAGAGACUCACGUCACUGAAAAGGUCACUUACUCUAUCACAAAAUAGAAAUUAUUUGUGAUGAUUUUAACCCUCACGUAAAGAACACUGUAUUUAUUGCUG